UGUGGCUGUCCUGUCUCACCAGGUUCUUCCUGGGCUCUGACGUCCCCCGCAGCUUCUCCUUGCCACGUCCUUACUCAGCCACCCGGCUUUCAACCCUUAACACCGGGCCGAGUGCUCACCACAUACGGGGCGGAGGAAAGACGCAGGGAACAGUUCUCAGAGCAAGCGGGUUUGGACAGGUGUCCUGCUCACGGUGCUGACGCUGAGCCUGGCCGGUGGAGUGGUCAUCUGGAAAAGGAAGAAAAUGCGGUCCAGGAGGGGCCAGUCCACUCUGCUGCCCACAGAGCUGGGCUCCGNNNNNNNNNNNNNNNGGGUGGCCCCAGGAGCCACUGCCCUCCCGAUGUGGAGCUCAGUCUCCUAAGACACGCCAAGAAUGACAUGGAGAGGGGCAGCUGUCAUCCCCCUAGCCCUGAGUGCCCCCCAACAGUCUGCACCGUCUACGACAAGAUUCGGAUGAGCCGAGAGCCCCAGGAGGACGCCUAGGUUAACGAAGACAUCGGGGCAGUGAAGGGCCUUGGCAAGAUCUGGCCCACCCUGCCUUCCACCCAGGGCCCCAGAAAUCCCUCCUCAGGUAGACCUAGUACAAGACCCCAGGUCUUCCUGACGUGCCGCCCCCCUCCCAUCCAAGGUGUCAGAGCAGCACCACGUGUCCCUGGGCUCCUCACCAAGCUCUUGUCACUUCACAGGUGGUAAGCAUCGACUAUGCCACCUGAGCACCCAGGAUGAGAGGCUGGUCCUUGGGCGGGCAGUCAGAUUUCUGACCUGUGACCCACUCACCCCUGGGAGGGGUCACCCGUAGUCAGGCAGGACCUGCAGACGCAUGUCUGGGAGCAGAGAUGCUGUCCCAGAAUCGGGCGGGCUUUGGAUGGAGGACCUCUAGGCUGUCACUGCCCAGCCCGGCCCCAUGAACAGAAGAGGGAGGGCCCUGGACUAUGGGAAAACAAGAGCUGCAGAGAGGAAGUUCAGGGUCAGCUUCAGCACGGAGGGAGGGGCGGAAGGGAAGGAAGUAGUUUUUGAGCUCCAUCACCUGCAGGCUUACUGUAAACACCAGAAAUGCACUAUCUCAAGAUCUCUCAAAAUUCAAGCAAUUUAUCAACCUUUUUAAAAAUUACCUAAUGGGGGUGCCUGGGUGGCUCAGUCGCUGAGCGUCUGCCUUUGGCUCAGGGCGUGGUCCCGGAGUUCUGGGAUCGAGCCCCACGUCAGGCUCUUCCGCUGGGAGCCUGCUUCUUCCUCUCGCACUCCCCCUGCUUGUGUUCCCUCUCUCGCUGGCUGUCUCUCUCUCUGUCAGAUGAAUUAAAAAAAAAUUACCUAAUGUACAUAAAUUGCAAGAAAGCCAAAGGCACAUCUCCUUGACAUUAUAUUUCAUCAGUUGCAAAUGGGAUCCUGUUGCAAAUGGGAUCCCAUUCCCGUUGUAUCUUCUCAUGAGUUGUUACAGUAACACAUACAUAACACGUAUUGUCACAUCGCUUAAUUUCUCUACCGUUUGAAAUAGUUUUUCAUUCGACCCCUUUGAAUUUCUGGGCAAAGAACCAUAUUAUUGACAAAUAAUUAGAUUUUUUUCCUUCUUUCUUUCAAUUUUUAUGCUUCAUUCUUGCCCUGCGUCUUGGUGCUGAAGGCUGGCGAACACCUCGCAGACCGUGUUUAGUAAGAGUGAUUCUGAACCUAGUCUUGUUUAGUUCCUUACCGGGAGUGCUCCUAGGGUGCCCUGUUCAGCAUGAUGUUUACGGUUAAGGCAUAGGAGGCAAGUCCACAAAGUAUGUUCUUAUUGCUAUUUUAUCAAGAAUUUUACCAUGAAUAAAAUGUUAAACUUUAUUCUUUUCCUUUUAUCA
rnacentral:lncRNA from 1 species